AGCAGCCGCGGUAAUUCCAGCUCCAAUAGCGUAUAUUAAAGUUGCUGCAGUUAAAAGCUCGUAGUUGAAUUUCGGGACCAUCAUGUUGGUCGUGCCUCGGUACGUACUGGCAUUGUUGGUUUCUCCCUUCUGACGAACCAUGAUGUCAUUUAUUUGGUGUCGUGGGAAAUCAGGACUGUUACUUUGAAAAAUUAGAGUGUUUAAAGCAGGCUCACGCUUGAAUACAUUAGCAUGGAAUAAUGAAAUAGGACGUUUGAUUCUAUUUUGUUGGUUUCUAGGAUCGACGUAAUGAUUAAUAGGGAUAGUUGGGGGCAUUAGUAUUCAAUUGUCAGAGGUGAAAUUCUUGGAUUUAUUGAAGACUAACUACUGCGAAAGCAUUUGCCAAGGAUGUUUUCAUUAAUCAAGAACGAAAGUCAGGGGAUCGAAGACGAUCAGAUACCGUCGUAGUCUUAACCAUAAACUAUGACCGACUAGGGAUCGGAUGAUGUUAAUUUUUAAUGUACUCAUUCC
rnacentral:misc_RNA from 1 species